UUAUCCUUAAAGUAGCUCUACCCUUUUGGGGUUAUAUUUCAAUUCAAAAUUUUUUAAAAACUACAACAAAUCGCCUAAAAACUCGGUGUGAUUCGGAAUCGUAAUUUUUUUCCUCAUUUAAUUGUCGUUCAAGUUUUUCUAAAAGGAAAUGUUGAAAUCCAUUAUUUAACACAGGGUCUUAUGUGAAAAACGCUGAAUUUACCACAACUCUGGUUAAAACAAAGAUUAAAAUCUAAUUUUUUUUCCUAAAAACGAGAAAAAAAUAAUAAAAAAUAUUGGCACCUGUUGGAUAACGAUUUAUCGUUUAGUUUUUUUUAUUAUUAAUAAUACUGGCAACAGGAAUAGACAUGACAACAGUGACCAUGUGAUGGCGCCCGCUCCGUUCGUCUCCAACUUCCCAUAUGAUCGUACGGCGUUGCCAUAGUUAUUUGCAAGCUAGUCAAUUGAAAAACUGCUUAUGUGCACUUUAUUUAAAAAAAAUUGACAUAAGAUAAUACUUAUGCUCAUGACCUCUAUGAUUUAUUUUAUUAAUUUAGAGCUAGAAAUACUGAUUUUUAGAAUGUAUUUUUUGUGAAAUAGACUCAAUGACUCCAGCCGUAGAGGUAGAGCUACUUUAAGUCGAUCAGUAACCCCAAAAAUGUACACCAAAUGGUAGCUAGCGAAUGGACUAUGGGUGCGUUUUGCAAUCGAGAUAGUCACAGUAACAGUACUGCAACCCUAUCCAAUUUUGCUUGACUGCAGCUACGGUAGUUGAUUCCAAAAGAUCCGACAAAAAAUGCAAGGACAAAUUAAUCGUCUCAAUGAGUCUUUCGACCAAGCUCAGGGUCGUAUCCGAACUCUCCAAGGUCACGUGAAUUAUUUGAAAACAUCGUACAGCAAUGUUUUCAAUAUCCCUGUCCACGCAGAUGGUUCAACGUCUCCAUUACCCCAAGAAAAUAUGAACUCUAGCCCCUACGACGCAUGUGAUUGCAAUUCAUAAAUCUUCACUUUACGAAUAAAAUCAGGAAGGUUUUAACAAUUUUUUUUUUCAAUUAAAAAAAAACAAAUAUUUUACAUUACGAAAUUUUUUGUAAGUGGAUUUUAACUCUUGAAUAAAUAGAAUAUACUUUCA